rnacentral:rRNA from 1 species
CUUUGGGUGUGACUGCGUACCUUUUGUAUAAUGGGUCAGCGACUUAUAUUCUGUAGCAAGGUUAACCGAAUAGGGGAGCCGGAGGGAAACCGAGUCUUAACCGGGCGUUAAGUUGCAGGGUAUAGACCCGAAACCCGGUGAUCUAGCCAUGGGCAGGUUGAAGGUUGGGUAACACUAACUGGAGGACCGAACCGACUAAUGUUGAAAAAUUAGCGGAUGACCUGUGGCUGGGGGUGAAAGGCCAAUCAAACCGGGAGAUAGCUGGUUCUCCCCGAAAGCUAUUUAGGUAGCGCCUCGUGAAUUCAUCUCCGGGGGUAGAGCACUGUUUCGGCUAGGGGGCCAUCCCGGCUUACCAACCCGAUGCAAACUGCGAAUACCGGAGAAUGUUAUCACGGGAGACACACGGCGGGUGCUAACGUCCGUCGUGAAGAGGGAAACAACCCAGACCGCCAGCUAAGGUCCCAAAGUCAUGGUUAAGUGGGAAACGAUGUGGGAAGGCCCAGACAGCCAGGAUGUUGGCUUAGAAGCAGCCAUCAUUUAAAGAAAGCGUAAUAGCUCACUGGUCGAGUCGGCCUGCGCGGAAGAUGUAACGGGGCUAAACCAUGCACCGAAGCUGCGGCAGCGACACUGUGUGUUGUUGGGUAGGGGAGC